rnacentral:tRNA from 1 species
GCCUGGGUGGCUUAGUUGGUUGAGCAUCUGACUUUGGCUCAGGUCAUGAUCUUGUGCGGUUCAUGAGUUCAAGCCCUGUGUCAGGCU